CACCGCUAAAUGAUAAACGCAUCCACAUUAGCAUAAAUUCUAAGUACAGCAUUAUUUAAAGAUAAGAAUAAAACGACAAUAUUAUCUGGAAUAAGAUAUAAAUAAAAUGUUCUCGUACAGAUCUUUUCUUUAAAAUAGGUCUUCUUGGAAAUCUUCACAGCCAUGACGAUAUUCUGUGAUCUUUUAAUAAUUCAAUAACGUUUAAGAAUAGUCAAAAUAUUACGUCGGAAUGAAACACAACAUCAAUACAGUCAACAUUACGCAAUACACAUUACACGUGUAGUUCAACGGAUAAAUUUGGGUCAACAUCAAUAUACAGUAAAAAUGGCUCUUUUGGUAAAAUCGGAACUUGCGUAUGCAUGGCGAUACAGUUAUCCCCGAUACAAGUUGAAUAAUAUAUAAAAUCAAAAUAGCAUAUUAAUGAACAGGAUCCAAAUGUUACGGAAAUUAAAUAAUGUAUGAUGCAAUGAAAUAAAUCUCACGUGCUUUCUGGUUGAAAACGGAAUACAUGUAGAUAUUCACUAAUAAAUCACAAAGACAGUACACAAGACGAGACAUGGUCUGUUCUUCAGUUGAAAAAUCCAUUUAAAUUUUGGAAUCAUAAUAAAAGUUCAGCUAUAAAUUUUGUAAAAACAAGGAAAAGUGUUCAGCAUCAAGGCACUAUAUAUCAGGAUCCAUCAGGAACGGUCGGUCAACUUGAGAGGUAAAAAUGUCUAAAAUCCAUGAAAAAUUAAACUCCAAAAAUGUAUACUUCUUUAUCCACCGAUCGUUUAGGGUCCUUCACCAUAUUACAGACUAGGGGAAUAGCUCUGGUAAUAUGGAUGGAG
rnacentral:lncRNA from 1 species